AUUGAACGCUGGCGGCAUGCUUUACACAUGCAAGUCGAACGGUAACAGGCCUUCGGGCGCUGACGAGUGGCGAACGGGUGAGUAAUGCAUCGGAACGUGCCCAGUCGUGGGGGAUAACGCAGCGAAAGCUGCGCUAAUACCGCAUACGAUCUGUGGAUGAAAGCGGGGGACCGAAAGGCCUCGCGCGAUUGGAGCGGCCGAUGUCAGAUUAGGUAGUUGGUGGGGUAAGGGCCCACCAAGCCAACGAUCUGUAGCUGGUCUGAGAGGACGACCAGCCACACGGGGACUGAGACACGGCCCAGACUCCUACGGGAGGCAGCAGUGGGGAAUUUUGGACAAUGGGCGCAAGCCUGAUCCAGCAAUGCCGCGGGAAGGAAGAAGGCCUUCGGGUUGUAAACUGCUUUUGUACGGAACGAAACGGUCCGGGUUAAUACCCUGGGCUAAUGACGGUACCGUAAGAAUAAGCACCGGCUAACUACGUGCCAGCAGCCGCCGUAAGAC
rnacentral:rRNA from 1 species